rnacentral:rRNA from 1 species
UACGAAGGGGGGCUAGCGUUGCUCGGAAUCACUGGGCGUAAAGGGUGCGUAGGCGGGUCUUUAAGUCAGGGGUGAAAUCCUGGAGCUCAACUCCAGAACUGCCUUUGAUACUGAAGAUCUUGAGUUCGGGAGAGGUGAGUGGAACUGCGAGUGUAGAGGUGAAAUUCGUAGAUAUUCGCAAGAACACCAGUGGCGAAAGGGCGGCUCACUGGCC